UAAUGUGGGAUGAUGAUCAGCAGCAGUUGU
rnacentral:piRNA from 2 species